AAAUCCGUCGACUUUAGAAAUCGUGAGGGUUCGGGUCCCUCUAUCCCCAA
rnacentral:tRNA from 1 species